UCCCCCAUCCCACUGGGAAGUGAAAGAGUGAGUGAACAACUGUGUGGUGCUCAGCAAUCUGCCAUGUUAAACCAAAGAAGUCAUUUUGGCACCCAGUGUGGGGCUUGGAGGAAUUGGAGUGACCACAGGAUUGAUUGUGAAUGUCAUGGCACCUGCAGGGCCCGUGAGAAGUGUUAGGGUAACUGUAGGGUAUGUCAAAAAAGUCAGAACAACCGCAGGGCCUGUCACAGGAGUUGGAGCAGCCACAGUGCUCUUUGUAGGGAGUGGGGCAGCCACAGGACUGUAUCUCUGGGCACGUUACAUCUCCCUCAGGAGGAAUUUUUUUCUUUUUCUCAUCGCAAUAUAUGAAACAGACACAGGACCUGUAGCAGGAGCAAUUGCAGUGCUCACUAUGAAGGUUGGAGUGACACUAGGGUCUGUCACAAUGCUCAAAGCAACCAUGGAACCUGUUGCGGGAAUUGGAGUUGCUGCAGUCUGUCAUUGGAAUUGGAGGCUCUGCUGUACUGUUAUCAGAUUCAGAAGUGUUCUCUACCCCUUGAAGAUGCUGAAUAAUGUUGAACAGAAGUUGUUUCCAUGAAAAUACACAGGAGGCAUUAACUUCAGAGCGACCUAUGUAUAUCCAGCCCAAGACAAUUCUUCACGAUUCAGUGCAGCCCAGGCAAGCCAAAAAGUUAGACACCCAUGAGCUUAUCACCCACCCUAUCCUGCCACUAGGCUCUGUUUCUCCUUGCUAGGCACUGAGAGGUCCUGAACAGCAGAGAUCUGCAUCACUUACUAUAUGCAGACCCUCAGCUUUCUUGUUAUGGUCAGGACCUUCCACGCCUGCAGCUUUUUUUAUCUGACAGGAGAAAGACGCUUAGGUUUUGCACAGGCUGACUUAAAUGUGAAAGAGACAGAUAAAGCCCUUUUUAGUCCUAGCCCUUUUGGAAGAUAAUAUUUGUACAUCUUCAAAAGAACGUUCAGAUAUAUAAUGUAACAUAUUUUCUGUUUGCUGUUCAUCCAACAGUGUAGCUAUGACCAGGUGUGCUGUAAUUAAAACAUUAAUAAACCUCGCAUCCUUGAGAUCAUGAGUACUUGGGAUCACCAUUUCCUGGAUGGAGCUGAGGGUACAUAGUUGCUCACAGUAAUCAGCAGUUUUUUUGGUAGUAAGAAGGCUCUACAUGCAGUCAAGGAGCAGAUACAGCAGGAGUCCCACAGUUUCUGGGGGGGAAGGCUGAUGAGGGUGGCCAGGGUCAGACACAGCUAUCCCCAGUGAUGUGGUGAAUCUGGAUGCAGGCAGAAGUCAAGCCUGCACGUCAUAAGAUCUAGCCAGGAACAGGGGAAGCUGCAUAGUAAGCUUGGUGAGGCUCAGCAUGUGGGUUAUGCUGGCAUGCAGCUCCUGAAUCUCUGCUGUGGAGCUAGAGGGGGGAGGCCCUGAUGCCUGCUGCAUGUUGCAUGAGAAAAUUUUCUUUCUACUCCUUCAGUAUUUCUGUCAUUUGCUCUUACUUUUGAGUGACAUUGCUAAAUCAUUUAUCUGUCUGAGCAAUCUUCUAUUACUUAUACGUUUACCCAUUUAUUAAUCUGACUUUGGAUUUGAGCACAUAAGAAUGAAAACUGCAAGCAGAUUUUGAUUGGUUAGACAUGAAUGGCUAAGAUAAAGGGAAUCUGAAGAAGCUUUUAAUACUGUGCAAGUUCAUUUUAAAUAUUUCCUUUAUUUUGUGGUCUGUUGUUUUUGAAAAGCUCUCAUUUGGUUCCAUUGCUCCUGUCUGUGAAGCUGCCAUUGGCUUUGGGAAUAAUCUGGAAUUUCUGAAGAGACUGGCCACAAGGAAAUGUGCUUGUUAUCUUGUAACAUUUAAAUUAGGACAUUUAAAAUGUCCUAAUUCUGAAUUGAUUUUUGAACAAAACUUGCACAGUCUAUCCCAAUAUUAACUUAGAUAAAUAUUUUCAAUACCUUAUAAAAAUUGCUGAUUAGUAAUUACAUGAAGCUUUUAGAAAGAUCUUCAGCUGCUGUAAACAAAUGUAGUUCUGCUGGAGUCUGUUUAACAUCUGUAUCUUUUCCUGUAAUCUUAGAAAUGCAUUUGCAUAGUCAGAAAUCUUGAGGCUUGAAGUGCAUAAUAACACAAGUGACAUGGGAAUUGCCAUAUUAGGUGUUCCUGUUCUAUGGUCAAAAGGUUGAACGAAGUAAUGGACAGGAUCUAAUUUUACUCAUAGCAUCACUUUGUGACAUCCUGAAUAUGAUCAAAGGCACAGUUAUGGUUCAAAACUAACAUGGGGAAGUAAUACGUAAUGUUAAAUUUUGAGCCACUGUUCAGAUGCUAACUGCAAUAUUUUUAUCCCAUUUCAGAGGUGGAAAGCUCAAGGAAAGAAGAGAAAAAAAUUACAUAUAGCUUUACAACAAAACUACAGUAAAAUAAAGUGGAGGUAAGAUACUCA